rnacentral:rRNA from 1 species
AUUGGCGUAUAUUAAAGUUGUUGCGGUUAAAAGCUCGUAGUUGGAUCUGUGUAUCGGACGGUCGGUUCGCCGCUCGCGGCGUUUAACUGACCGUUUCCGGACGUCCUGCCGGUGGUCGUUGGUCCGCGAGGGCCUUCGGCCGUCACCUCCCUCCGGGCUUCUCUUAACCGGGUGGCCCGGUGGGCCGGCACGUUUACUUUGAACAAAUUUGAGUGCUCAAAGCAGGCCUAUAGACGCCUGAAAACUGUGUGCAUGGAAUAAUGGAAUAGGACCUCUUUUCUAUUUUGUUGGCUUUUCUGAAACAGAGGUAAUGAUUAAUAGGGACAGACGGGGGCAUUCGUAUUGCGACGUUAGAGGUGAAAUUCUUGGAUCGUCGCAAGACGGACGGAUGCGAAAGCGUUUGCCAAGAAUGUUUUCGCUAAUCAAGAACGAAAGUUAGAGGUUCGAAGGCGAUCAGAUACCGCCCUAGUUCUAACCAUAAACGAUGCCAGCCAGCGAUGCGCCGAAGUUCCUCCGAUGACUCGGCGCGCAGCUUCCGGGAAACCAAAGCUUUUGGGUUCC